rnacentral:rRNA from 1 species
CCCUUAGAUGUUCUGGGCUGCACGCGCGCUACAAUGGUGCGAGCAAUGAGAUGAGGGCUGAACCGAGAGGUUUGGCGCGCCUCGUAAACCGCACCCUGCCAGGGAUAGAUCAUUGCAAUUGUUGUUCUUGAACGAGGAAUGCCUAGUAAGCACGAGUCAUCAGCUCGUGCUGAAUACGCCCCUGCCCUUUGUACACACCGCCCGUCGCUCCUGCCAAUGGAUCGACUGGAGAGAGUGAGAGAUCGACCAGGGUAACACCCUCGCGUUGUAGACCUCCCUCGAUCCGUCAGUAUCUAAAGGAAGGAGAANUCGUAACA